CCUACGGGGUGCAGCAGUCGAGAAUCAUUCACAAUGGGGGAAACCCUGAUGGUGCGACGCCGCGUGGGGGAAUGAAGGUCUUCGGAUUGUAAACCCCUGUCAUGUGGGAGCAAAUUAAAAAGAUAGUACCACACGAGGAAGAGACGGCUAACUCUGUGCCAGCAGCCGCGGUAAUACAGAGGUCUCAAGCGUUGUUCGGAAUCACUGGGCGUAAAGCGUGCGUAGGCUGUUUCGUAAGGCGUGUGUGAAAGGCGCGGGCUCAACCCGCGGACGGCACAUGAUACUGCGAGACUAGAGUAAUGGAGGGGGAACCGGAAUGCUCGGUGUAGCAGUGAAAUGCGUAGAUAUCGAGAGGAACACUCGUGGCGAAGGCGGGUUCCUGGACAUUAACUGACGCUGAGGCACGAAGGCCAGGGGAGCGAAAGGGAUUAGAUACCCCUGUAGUC
rnacentral:rRNA from 1 species